AUUGAACGCUGGCGGCAUGCCUUACACAUGCAAGUCGAACGGCAGCGCGGACUUCGGUCUGGCAGCGAGUGGCGAACGGGUGAGUAAUGUAUCGGAACGUACCAUUCAGUGGGGGAUAACGCAGCGAAAGUUGCGCUAAUACCGCAUAUUCUGUGCGCAGGAAAGCAGGGGAUCGCAAGACCUUGCGCUGAUUGAGCGGCCGAUGUCAGAUUAGCUAGUUGGUGAGGUAAAGGCUCACCAAGGCGACGAUCUGUAGCGGGUCUGAGAGGAUGAUCCGCCACACUGGAACUGAGACACGGUCCAGACUCCUACGGGAGGCAGCAGUGGGGAAUUUUGGACAAUGGGGGCAACCCUGAUCCAGCCAUGCCGCGUGAGUGAAGAAGGCCUUCGGGUUGUAAAGCUCUUUCGGCCGGGAAGAAAUCGCACGGGCUAAUACCCUGUGUGGAUGACGGUACCGGAAUAAGAAGCACCGGCUAACUACGUGCCAGCAGCCGCCGUAACAC
rnacentral:rRNA from 1 species